UGGCGGACGGGUGAGUAAUGUCUGGGAAACUGCCUGAUGGAGGGGGAUAACUACUGGAAACGGUAGCUAAUACCGCAUAACGUCGCAAGACCAAAGAGGGGACCUUCGGGCCUCUUGCCAUCGGAUGUGCCCAGAUGGGAUUAGCUAGUAGGUGGGGUAACGGCUCACCUAGGCGACGAUCCCUAGCUGGUCUGAGAGGAUGACCAGCCACACUGGAACUGAGACACGGUCCGG
rnacentral:rRNA from 1 species